GUUGUAGCUCAGUUGUACAGCACUUGUCUCACACAGAUGAGGCCCUGGGUUCGAUCCUCAGCACUACA
rnacentral:tRNA from 1 species